GAUGAACGCUGACAGCAUGCUUAACACAUGCAAGUCAACCGCGGCGGACUGGUGAGUCACGCGUAAAGAUCUUGCCUAACAGUUAGGCACAACGUGUGGAAUCGAAUGCUAAUACGUGCUACUGUGAGCGAGCUUUGCGUCACAUUAGCUAGUUGGAGAGGUAACGGCUCACCAAGGCGAGGAUGGGUAGCCGGCCUGACAGGGCGAUCGGCCACAAGGGGACAGGGAAACGACCCUUACGCCUACGGGGGGAAGCAGUGGGGAAUAUUUGACAAUAGACCAAAGUCUGAUGCAGCUAUUCGGUGUGCACGAUGAAGUUUUCGGGAUGUAAAGUACUUUGAGUUGAGAAGCGGUACCAACAGAAGAAGUGACGGCUAAAUACGUGCCAGCAGCCGCGGUAAUUC
rnacentral:rRNA from 1 species